CAGCAGCCGCGGGAAAACGGAGGGUGCGAGCGUUAAUCGGAAUUACUGGGCGUAAAGCGUACGCAGGCGGUUUGUUAAGUCAGAUGUGAAAUCCCCGAGCUUAACUCGGGAACUGCAUUUGAAACUGGCAGGCUAGAGUCUCGUAGAGGGGGUAGAAUUCCAGGUGUAGCGGUGAAAUGCGUAGAGAUCGGGAGGAACAUCAGUGGCGAAGGCGGCCAUCUGGGACAACACUGACGCUGAGGCACGAAAGCGUGGGGAGCAAACAGGAUUAGAUACCCCUGUAGUCCCUGUCUCUUAUACA
rnacentral:rRNA from 1 species